AUUGAACGCUGGCGGCAUGCUUUACACAUGCAAGUCGAACGGCAGCACGGGAGCAAUCCUGGUGGCGAGUGGCGAACGGGUGAGUAAUGCAUCGGAACGUAUCCUUGAGUGGGGGAUAACACACUGAAAGGUGUGCUAAUACCGCAUACGCCCUGAGGGGGAAAGCGGGGGAUCGCAAGACCUCGCGCUGAAGGAGCGGCCGAUGCCCGAUUAGCUAGUUGGUGAGGUAAAGGCUUACCAAGGCGACGAUCGGUAGCUGGUCUGAGAGGAUGAUCAG
rnacentral:rRNA from 1 species